rnacentral:lncRNA from 1 species
AAGCGCACGGUUGUUUUUAAUUUGACUUUUGGAUUUGAAGUAAGUUUAGGUUGAAUAUGAGUUUGCGUAUAAUUGUCCCUAGCAGCCUUGUAUCCGAUCGACACACAAAAGUUCACCUAAGAAGUUAAGAUCCAAUUUUAUGAGAUCUAUUUCCGCACAAAUAGAGCAUAACUAAGGUAUGUCAAUGUAACUCCUUCAAGAUUAAAACAUUAAAAUACUACUUAACAAAACAACGAGAUCUUAACCCUAUUUGCUGUGGCAGGAAAUGGGAUUAAUAAACCCUUGUUGUUCUGCCUAGUAACAUUUCAAUAUUUUAAUCUUAAGGUAAUGGAGAAAUAAAUUUCCGCCGCAUUAGGGUACCUAAUUAAGCAGCAACCAACCAAAUAAAGCUGAUUUGACUCGUAAAAAUUAGUUCAAAAAUCUGGCCUCGGCUUGAAAAACUUACACCUGAAGCUGUUGUGUCCCACCUCCAGCCUUCCACGAGUCAAAAAACUGGACCUCAAAUGAGGAAGCCACAUGAAUUAUCUUAGGAAGCAACUACUUGUGUUGAUAAUUCGAUAAUGACAACUCCUAUCAGGGCAUAGCUUUCCAUAUUGCUUUUGUGCGAAAAGGGCAUGGAUGCAGGGCAUAACCGUGCCCUAGUGACGUCAAAGCAUCUCUCCAAAGAGAGAUCAGAAAUAUUAAGCCAUAGCAUCUGUUGGUAAAAGAAUUCGAAUUAUAACAAUUCAGGCCUCAUCCAAAAAAAAAACUAGUCGAAGAUAUUAUUUAAAUUUUUUGGCCCUGUAUAAGUACCCAGAGAGCAGAAAUAUUAAGCCAUAGCAUCUACUGGUAAAAGAAUUCGAAUUAUAAUAAUUCAGGGUCUCAUUCAAAAAAGUUAAGCCGGAAGAUAUUAUUUAAGUUUUUUAGCCCUGUAUAAGUAUCCAGGAUCUACCUAUUACAUGCCCGAUGUGAGAUUAAAUAC